UACGUAGGGGGCAAGCGUUGUCCGGAUUUAUUGGGCGUAAAGAGCGUGUAGGCGGCUUGGUAGGUCCAUUGUGAAAACUCGGAGGCUCAACCUCGAGACGCCGGUGGAAACCAUCAGGCUAGAGUCCGGAAGAGGAGAGUGGAAUUCCUGGUGUAGCGGUGAAAUGCGCAGAUAUCAGGAAGAACACCCGUGGCUAAGGCGGCUCUCUAGUACGGUACUGACGCUGAGACGCGAAAGCGUGGGGAGCGAACAGG
rnacentral:rRNA from 1 species